rnacentral:rRNA from 1 species
CACUCCUGCGGGAGGCAGCAGUGGGGAAUAUUGGACAAUGGGCGCAAGCCUGAUCCAGCCAUGCCGCGUGAGUGAUGAAGGCCCUAGGGUUGUAAAGCUCUUUCACCGGUGAAGAUAAUGACGGUAACCGGAGAAGAAGCCCCGGCUAACUUCGUGCCAGCAGCCGCGGUCAUACGAACGGGGCUAGCGUUGUUCGGAUUUACUGGGCGUAAAGCGCACGUAGGCGGACUAUUAAGUCAGGGGUGAAAUCCCGGGGCUCAACCCCGGAACUGCCUUUGAUACUGGUAGUCUUGAGUUCGGGAGAGGUGGGUGGAAUUCCGAGUGUAGAGGUGAAAUUCGUAGAUAUUCGGAGGAACACCAGUGGCGAAGGCGGCUCACUGGGUCGAUACUGACGCUGAGGGGCGAAAGCGUGGGGAGCAAACAGGAUUAGAAACCCCUGUAGUCCCA